CCGACCUUAGCUCAGCUGGAAGAGCAUCAGACUGUAAUUGGUUAAGAAUUUUCGGUAUCUGGGUGUCGCCUGUUCGAACCAGGCAGGUCGGA